rnacentral:lncRNA from 1 species
UUUGUUACAUUUGAGCUGAGAGGAACUGAAAUCAUCUCAGUUCUGCGUGAAUGAGGAAUGGGAAAAUCUGCAUGGACCUUCUGCACAGGAGUCCCUCAUCUCCUGUCCCAGGCCACUUACACAACACCAAAAAGGAAGGUCAAGAUUCAAAGGACUUACAAGUGAAAAAAGAGAAGGAAGAAGAGAGGGUUUUUUGAUAGUCUGGAACAAGGCAAAUGAAAACAGAAGGAGACAGCAUUUGCCUGGCUCCUCCGGACUGACUGCUAAUCGUUGGAGUUGUUCUUCGGGAGCUGUGGGAAAGAGAACUUACAGAGAGGAACUGCUUCAACAGGCAAUAUCAAGAGAGGCCUGACCCCGAAGAACUCUAGCAGAGAAAGUGCUUCUUUAGGAGCUGUGUGGAUGACAGUGCCCUGAGUUGAAUGAACAUAAAGCAACAACAUGGGUAAGUGUUGUA